AUACGUAGGGUGCAAGCGUUAAUCGGAAUUACUGGGCGUAAAGCGUGCGCAGGCGGUUUUGGAAGGCAGUGGUGAAAUCCCCGGGCUCAACCUGGGAACUGCCAUUGUGACUGCAAGGCUGGAGGGCGGCAGUGGGGGAUGGAAUUCCGCGUGUAGCAGUGAAAUGCGUAGAUAUGCGGAGGAACACCGAUGGCGAAGGCAAUCCCCUGGGCCUGCACUGACGCUCAUGCACGAAAGCGUGGGGAGCAAACAGGAUUAGAUACCCUGGUAGUCCACGCCCUAAACGAUGUCAACUGGUUGUUGGGGAUUUAUUUUCUCAGUAACGAAGCUAACGCGUGAAGUUGACCGCCUGGGGAGUACGGCCGCAAGGUUAAAACUCAAAGGAAUUGACGGGG
rnacentral:rRNA from 1 species